rnacentral:rRNA from 1 species
GGCCUUGCGCUCUUUGAGCGGCCGAUGUCAGAUUAGCUAGUUGGUGAGGUAAAGGCUUACCAAGGCGACGAUCUGUAGCGGGUCUGAGAGGAUGAUCCGCCACACUGGAACUGAGACACGGUCCAGACUCCUACGGGAGGCAGCAGUGGGGAAUUUUGGACAAUGGGGGCAACCCUGAUCCAGCCAUGCCGCGUGAGUGAAGAAGGCCUUCGGGUUGUAAAGCUCUUUCGGCCGGGAAGAAAUCGCAUGGGCCAAUACCCUGUGUGGAUGACGGUACCGGAAUAAGAAGCACCGGCUAACUACGUGCCAGCAGCCGCGGUAAUACGUAGGGUGCGAGCGUUAAUCGGAAUUACUGGGCGUAAAGCGUGCGCAGGCGGUUUUGUAAGACAGGCGUGAAAUCCCCGGGCUUAACCUGGGAACUGCGUUUGUGACUGCAAGGCUAGAGUACGGCAGAGGGGGGUGGAAUUCCACGUGUAGCAGUGAAAUGCGUAGAGAUGUGGAGGAACACCAAUGGCGAAGGCAGCCCCCUGGGUCGAUACUGACGCUCAUGCACGAAAGCGUGGGUAGCAAACAGGAUUAGAUACCCUGGUAGUCCACGCCCUAAACUAUGUCAACUAGGCGUUGGGUGGGUAAAACCAUUUAGUACCGUAGCUAACGCGUGAAGUUGACCGCCUGGGGAGUACGGCCGCAAGGUUAAAACUCAAAGGAAUUGACGGGGACCCGCACAAGCGGUGGAUGAUGUGGAUUAAUUCGAUGCAACGCGAAAAACCUUACCUACCCUUGACAUGCCAGGAACUUGCCAGAGAUGGCUUGGUGCCCGAAAGGGAGCCUGGACACAGGUGCUGCAUGGCUGUCGUCAGCUCGUGUCGUGAGAUGUUGGGUUAAGUCCCGCAACGAGCGCAACCCUUGUCGUUAAUUGCCAUCAUUUGGUUGGGCACUUUAACGAGACUGCCGGUGACAAACCGGAGGAAGGUGGGGAUGACGUCAAGUCCUCAUGGCCCUUAUGGGUAGGGCUUCACACGUCAUACAAUGGUCGGUACAAAGGGUUGCCAAGCCGCGAGGCGGAGCCAAUCCCAGAAAGCCGAUCGUAGUCCGGAUUGCAGGCUGCAACUCGCCUGCAUGAAGUCGGAAUCGCUAGUAAUCGUGGAUCAGCAUGUCACGGUGAAUACGUUCCCGGGUCUUGUACACACCGCCCGUCACACCAUGGGAGCGGGUUCCGCCAGAAGUAGGUAGCCUAACCGCAAGGGGGGCGCUUACCACGGCGGGGUUCGUGACUGGGGUGAAGUCGUAACAAGGUA